CUAUUUCAUCCGUGCCAGCUCUU
rnacentral:piRNA from 1 species